UAAAAUUAAGGAAAAAUAAAGAUACGAUACUGUAUGCAGAUUUAAAUCAUUUUGAGCAAGUCGUAUUUUCUUGCCACCUUGGAAGAGUCAAUUAACAUUUAUUGCUGGCCACAUGGCAGACAAUAUGCUCAAUGCUUCAUGGGCAUUAUCUCAUUUCUGUUUUAAAUUACAAAAUGAAGUCUAUGGAUGUUGAAAAUUUUGAAAGAUAUAGAAAAACACAGGAUAAAAAUUGAGAGGCUCUCGUCUCUUCUGCCUUCCCUUACCUUCUCUCUCACUGCUCUCUUUCCCUACAGCUUACCCUAGUGGUACAUGUAUGGUUGUGUGCCGGAUAUGUAUGUGUGUGUUUGUGGGUAGCUGUGUGUACAUACACACAUAACCAUACAAACAAGACCAUAGCUAUUUAUUGUAUUAAGACUUUUCCCCCCUUUUUAAUAGUGUAAUUUGGAUAUUUUCCUGCCUUCUACCAAAUACAUAAAUAUCAUGUUUCUUAAUACUCUUAAUAGUCUAUUCCAUAGUUUAGACUGUAUUUAACAACUCCCUUAUCAUUAGAUAUUUAGGCUUGUCCAGCUUUUUGCUAUCACAAACAGGGAUCUUGGUGUAUAUGUGAAUGUUGGCAGCAGGUUAGCAGAGCACCAGAAGUGGGACUACUGGUCAAACCUUUGCACAAAAAUCAUACAGCCUCUAAUAGCAUUUCCCAGAGAAGAAAAGGGCCUUGUCUGGAACACAGAUCAAGAACUCUUAACUUUUUCUGAUCCAUGCUUUACAUUGCCACUUGAUAAAUACUACAUGUCAUCUCUAAGUACCACUAAAUCUCCCAUCUGGAGAGAUGGGACACUCUCCUUUAUACCUUUGAUGACUUUACUACCCAUGAUAAAAGCAGGAGAUCCCACCUUCCAGCUGCCCCUUCUUAAACAUCUAACUCUGUGCAAGUCCCAACCCUCAUUUAAUCACUUUGCUACUUCAUUGCAUUCAUCACACCAACUUGCAGUUAUUUGUACAGUUGUUCAUCUUCCAUUAGACUGAGCCCUCUGAGGGCAGGAAAUAUUUUUCAUUCUUCUUGGAACUUCCUUUUCCUAACAUAGUGUCUGAGAUGCUCAAUAAACUUUUUUUUGAGUGAAUAAAAAAUAAAUGAGGGAGUAGAAUACCUAGAUGAAUUCAGUUAUAAAAUGGCUCCAGGUACUGAAAUUGUCCAUUUUCAUUUUUAUGUUUUUGCAAUAAGAAAGAUGAACAUGCAUCUCCCCUAGUGCUACUUUUUUCAAAACUAAAUAUUCUAAUUCCAAGGCUUUAUUUCCGUCAAAUAACUACCACUUCCAAAUUCUUCUGUUAUUUUUAUUGUUCUCCAGGAUCUCUCCAUCUCAAUCAUGUCAUACAUUGGAAACAAUUCUCUGACACUUCAUCUAUAUACAAUCAACACUUUGUUAGGCUCUUGUAGCUGCCUCAUUUUUUGUAACACAAUAGAAUACUUGCCUUAAUAAUAAAUUAUAUUUGCCUUACAGUAUGGCUUAUUAGAUACCCAAAAUGUUUUCUGCCAUGCUUUCGAAAUGUUUUGACUGCAUGACAUUCUAUGGUGUUAAAAUUCCCCAAAAUGAAUGAUUUAUACUGCAUUUGCCUUAAUUGGAAUCUAUCCUGUUUUCAUCUUUCCUACUUUGACAGUCAUCUCAAUGUAAAUCCUGUGUCAGAGGUGCUUAUCUGUCUCUUUGCUACUUUUCUUUGAAAACUAAACAUAAACACAAGAAAUUUCACAUAGUAAAACUAGUAAGAUCUGGGUUUAUAAAUAUAAAUGGUGCAUCUGUGGCGGCAGAGCUCUGUCUCCAACUUCUUGGAGAUAAACAAGUUCAUAGUUAGAAAUGCUCUAGAAGUAAACAGGAAACCUGCUACACAAAUUGUGAAAUAUAAGUAUGUUUUAUAGAAGUCCUGAAAUUGUAUUUUUCAACAAGUUAAAACAGAAAAACCUAACACUACCAUAUCCAUUAAAUAUUAAUUCUCUCUUCCUCAAAUGUUUUACUCAUAUCUAUGCCUGUCCCUUUGGAACAUUUUUCAGUCAAAUUCAUAACACUGUCUUGAUUCCAAGCCUCAGGAGAACAUUUGAAUGAAAUUUUCAAAUGCUUCAAUUUUUAUAUCAUCCAAUGUGGAAUUCACAUUUACUGAGCACCUGCAAUGAGCUAGGAUCUGUACUACAUACUUUUAAAAAUACAUUAUUUUUCCUAAGAAAGUUCUGAGGUAGAUAUAUUAUUUUACAGAUGAGGAAACAGAGGUUCAGAGAGGUUAACUGACUUCACAAAAGUCAUAGAGCUACUAGGUAACAGAGCUCAUUGAACAUGGAGCUAGGAUUCAACCCUGGAUCGCCGUGAAGCCAUUUUGUUUCCAUGACAUCAUGACAUUGGUUAUAACACCACAAUUGUUUAGAAUAUAAGGCUUGUUUAGAAUGCAAGGCUUCCUCAAUUCUCCACCCUUCCCCUCUUGACAUCUUGCUCUUCUUCCCUUCAUCUAUUGUGUUAGUCAGGUGCAUGCUGGUCUUCCCUCUAUCAAACUACAGGACUUUCAUAGUUUUGAACAAGUCAGAACCUGAAAGAAUUUGCUUCCAGAACAGGACAUUGACAGGAAAAUUAAGCAUGAUCAUGCCGAGUAAAAUAGGAAUAAGAAUUGGACCUACCUCAAGAUCUGUUGAGAAGAUUAUGAGAGAGCUGAUGGAUCUAAAAGAUUGGCGCUUGAUAGAAUUGGGAUCAUUUGUUUUGACUAGAACAAUCUCUUGCAGCUUGGAUGGAGAAACUUUACAGAGGUUUCAGCCAAACACUCAUGAAUUCUUUAAUGUGUGAAAUAAAGUAAGUUUUAUAGGCAAAUAACAAUCUGAAUCCCUAACUAGCUAUUUCAUAUAAUAUGCAUAUAACUCUGAAAAUUACAUACAUCAAAUUUCAAUUUGGCUUCAUGCAUGCUUUGUUUUAUAGAUUCAUAAAGGCAGAUUUUCUCUGAUUAUCAGACUUAUUGCAAAAUGGAGUCAACACAGAAACUUCCUGAAGUUGGCAAAGCUUGUUUUCUUUGGCUGACAGGAGUAACUGAUGUAUUAUUAUUUUUUAAGGCUCUGAGAUAAAUCUGAUUCAUGUUUGAAUCAUAAGUUUAUUAUUGAUUUUUAGUGUGGAUUUUGCAUAAGAUACUCAAUUUAGAGAAUACUCAGCUUUCUCAUAUGCAGAAUAGAAAAAAAGUAGUUACCUGAUCAGAUUUUUUGAAAGGUAAAUGCAACAGCAGUUGUAAAUGGCAUAGUCCAUUGUUAGGAAUAGACUAGGUGUUCAAUAAAUGAAUAAAAAAAAACCGUGAAGCUCUCCUGAAGCUUUAUAUUCCCUGUCUAUAAAAUGGAGACAUCACUGAUUUCCUGCUUACAUUACAAGACUGCUGUGAAGAUCAAAUGAAGAAACAGAUAAAAAUGUUUGGUAAACUGAAUUGUACAGUAUAAAUAGAAAGCGGUGACAAAAGUAAUUCAUACCAAUGCAGUUUUUUAAAAAUAUCCCAACCUGCCUACACAACUACUUCCUCUCUCUGAGAUUUAUCUCAAAAGUGGAAUUAGAUUCCUGUCUUAGCUGUAAAAAUAAAGCCACAAAGGGCAUCAUGCAUGAGAGAGUAAAUGUGAAACUCUGUGGGGGAAAAUGGAAACUUCAGAUAUUAUUAGGGCCUAGCUGCCAAUGGUGAUUCUCUCAAGAUUUUAUUGGCAGGUUGAGUGAAAGUGCCAGAGUGUGGAUGCACAAAUUGUAGUUUAAUUGGUGUGAUUUAUAGCUAAUGGUGCAUCAGAAGGAGGAACUAGGAACUGUGCCUUCUAAUUUAAGGCAUAGUACCUAAGACUGCAUCCACUAGGUAAGAAAACCUUCCUUGGCAAACUCAAAUAUUAAAUCUUCGCUGAAUUUGUCUUGUUCUUUUAUAUAAAAAUCAUGGAGCCAGGAGCUAAAAUAAUAUCUAAGUUUCCUCUUUGCCUGACGCCAUCCAUGCAAAAUGUGACUUGCUUCUUCAGCAGCAGCAUGAAAACAAACUAAUACACCACUAUUCCUAGGUAAGUAGAGCCACAAUGGGAAGACCACUAAGGGAAUAUGGAGGCUCACAGAGGCUAGUCAAUUUAUCCAAGGCCACGCAGCAAAGCUGGGACUCAAACUCAAAUCUUCUAGUCCUAGUUUCAUUCAGUUUUUUUUUUUUCCUACAUUGAUUCUAGACUUUGUUCUACAAGUGACUACUUUUCUGUUUUGUUCCUGACAUGAACAUGUCCAUGGCUGUCUCAGACUUGUUUGGUUACCCUAAGUAACCAUUUAGCAGCCAAUUUCUGAUAUGACUAUAGAUACAUCUCUAUAAGUGAAUUCUAUAGGUGAUUUGGCAUGAUCAAAAUGAAAAGGCUUUGUUUGAGUUCCCCAAUAUACUGCUCAAAUGAAAGCUUCUCAAAAUAUCAUUUUGAGAUACGACAGGUCUUUCCUUCAAAUACAACAGAUACUUUUCUUUUGCAGCACUCAGCAUACAUACAACUAUUUAUUUAUCUGUAAGUACUUGCUUAGUAUCUGUGAAGAACAUUGCAGGUACCUGACAUAUGUCUAACUGAUGGAGUGAGGCUGCUAAUGUGGCCAUCUCUCCCUCUUCCUGAUAAGAAAGUGAACCAGCCAUUUCAAAAUGUGGAGAAUUCGAUAAAUAUGUUCUACUCCUCUAUAGCCCUCCCACUAAAAUAAUUUUCAAUUUUCAAUUGAGGUGAAAGGAAGAAUCGGCAAAGAGACGGAUUGAGAGAAUUGUUUAUACUCAUAACUUCGUUCUCAACAUAAUUAUCUAUUUCUGAAUCCUAAAAAUCACCUAGCUAGAUUCUCCCUCAAUCUGAAGAUUACCUUUUACUCCUUGAGAUGCUAAAUGUGUUCCUAUUUAUCAUAUUAAUAUUGCGAGUAUUUUGUGUUAUGCAGCCAGAAAAAUCACAUAAUGGGAACUUACCCACAGCCCCCAAACUCAUAAACAGGAGCUGAAUAGAAAUUCCUCAGUGCAAUUUAUGGUAACAAUUUCAUGCUCAGUUUAGUUACUUCCAUGACUCAGAAAAGAAAUUUCUUUUGCUUAUUUCAGUAAUUUUUUUCUAAAAAAUUGUUCCCCUAAUUUUUGGCAAAGGAUCUAUGAGAAAGUGAAGAACUCCCUGGUUGUACAUGGAUUUGGAAUUGUCACUUAAGUGAGGCCAAAAUGUAACCCUAUGCCAUUCAUUGCAUAGUACCAUUUGUUAUAAAUUUGACCUCUAAAACAAAGAUAUUACAAAGCCAUUGAGUGUUUUUUUAAGGGAUAUAUUAUAUUUGUCACUUAGUCCCCAGUAUUAUGAUGGAAAACCUGGAUAGUGGAUAGAAAACCUGGAGGUCAUUUAGGCAUCUCUUUCACUGGUUGGGUGAGAAAUGGUGAAGAAGAUGGGAAUGGAGAAGGGACAUACAUUUGGUAAGUGUAAAUAAGAGUCUUUGCUGAUUAAUUCAGUGUGGCCCAUGAGAAAGAGUGGAAGUGUCCAAGGUUCCCUCAGGUUUACAGCUUGGGCAACUGACUGAGAACAGAAAGGAGCUGCCAUUGAGAGGAAGAAAAGAAAAUGACACUGAGUCCAUGUUGGGACACAUUGGGUUUAAAGGGAUAUCAUUAUGACCUAAGCUCUCUGAAUUCCAGUGACUGGGAAUAUGGGAAGAUACAUCUUUAACAGUUGAAGCAAUUUAUACACUUUAACAAUUGAAGCAAUUUAUACACCAGAGCCUAAGGAAUAUUUAUAGAUGAGGGCUGUGCUGCAAUGACAGAUAGGGUUGUAUGAAACAUACACUAAUCUGACCAUUCUAUCCUCCAGACUCAGGGAAGGAAAUAAUAAAAGUAAGUAACCAUAAAAAAUAGACUUUUAUGCAUAAAUAAAUAAAAAUCAGCUAGGAGACAGUUCAUCCCUGUAUAAGUAAAACAGGCAAAUUUAUCUUUCCUCUGAUUAAUAAUUUAAGAAAAAAUCCCAAGCAAGCUGCCUAUGGAGGUGUAGGAGUAGCUCCUAUAAUUAGACUCCAAUUUGAACCAUGAGGGUGAGGAUCAGAAAGCUGACUCAGAGCCUGGUGUCAAUUAUUUGCAGUUUGUACAACGAAAGGCUAAAAAUUUGGGAGAUGCAGGAUGACUGAAGCCCGAUUCUGGGGGUUGUUACAGCACAGUUACAGGGUAAGUUUUUUCCAUUGUUAUUUGCUGGAAAAUUUAUUCUCCAUCUCCUUUAGUCUGUGCCUGAAUUUUGUGGGACUUGCUCGAGAAUGGUAUUCAUGCUUUAAAUCCAAGAGCCAGGAAUCAUCGCAUUUCAACAAUUUUCCUAUUUAUUUUAACCAAAACAGAGCUGGUUUCUAUAACUCAAUUUAAGAAAUUAUCCUCUUUGAUACAAUCUACUUAUGUUUGAUUGAUUUUAGAAUAAACUAACAGAUACACAAGAGCUUAUCAAGCUAGCUCGGUUCAGUGGAGAACUAUAGCAGAAACAGCAGGUUUCUAUUUGGCACAUUUUGGAUUUAUCUGGACGCAAGAGGAUGUGAAAAGAACACCUUUCAGACAAAAGCCAGUCUUGAGUAGGAAUUUAGUGUUCCUUGCCCAAACAGCUUAGUUUGUUUCCCAUUUUGAGUCACUAUCUGAAUCCUUUUUUAUCUCCUAUAUAGAACAAAUUCUCUCCCUCUAUUUAAUAGGCUUUCAGAUAUGAAACAGAGAGAGAGAGAGAGAGAGGAAGGAAGGAAGGGAGGGAGGGAAAGAGAAAGGGAAAGAAGGAAGGAAAAGCUCUAAUUUCUUCUGUUCUUUUGGUAACACACCUCCCCUUCACAUCCUUCAGCUGCUCCCCUUAGGGCUUUUUGUAGACACUUUUGGUGGUCUCUCCUCUCACACACUGCUCACCACUGUACUUUAUUUUGUAUCAUCUGUCUCCAUCCUUUCCCAACUCCUGAGCACUCAGCCUCCUCUGGAUCUUUUCUGGUUCCUUCGCUCCUAGAACUGUGUCUGAUGGCUUAUGAAGGCAAAUGACAAAUGUUUGCCAUAUGCACAUGUAUGUGCAUGAAUGAAUACAUCCAGGUUCUGACUUCCUCGGGGCAACCUCUACUUUCUCAAUGCCCCUCUUAAGAUGGGGGUGGGGGAGGGUCCUCCUAGAACUGAACAUGAUAUUCCAGGUGUGAUCUAAUACAUUUAAAUGUCCAAAAGCUCUUUCUUCCCUAAACGUUCCUUUUUAAAAGCUACUGUUCUCAAUUAAUGGGUGUCUCAUCUUCUUAAGUAUAUUAAUAAGAGGUAUUUUGAUGUUUCCCUCCAUUCUGUGGAUUACCUCUUGAUUCUCUGGAUUCUUUGUGAUUCCGUUUUGUUUUAAGGAUGUUCUCAGGUGUCUGGUGAUCCUUGCUUAUAAGUCCAAAUUAAUGAUGAGGCACUAAAAUGCUGAUUGGAAGCUCUCUGUGCAGGCAGGUAUUGUUGAAUAGUGGUAAACAGGGGACAUGUUCAUUUUGGAGACACUCAAAUAUCAGGACCUAUAAAUCUCUAUGCCAAGUCAGUUUCCCCAGAGUCUCUUAAUAUCAUUUCUUUCAGGUUAAAAGCCUGGUUACCAGGUUCUGGGAGUGAAGGGAGGAGUGGGGCUUAGACAAGGGUGGGGGCGGGGGUAUGUCUCACAAUUCACUAAAUACCUUCUUUUAUAUAUGUGUUCUCUGUGCAGCAUUUUACCCCCACCAUCGUCCAUGUCUGAUGCCUCAGGUUCAAUCUUGUUCAGUCUUUCCAAAGAGGAAACAUUGGUUGGGUGGGAAUGAUUGGCAGGUCGAAGAGAGAAUUUGAAGCUAUAGCUGCUCCUUUUAAAACUUCUAACUCAUCUUUGUUUUUUCAGGCCUUCCUCACACCCAUGUCUUCAGAUACCCAAGGCCUUUAAUACCCAAGUCCUUCCAGGAUUCUGCACAUCUCAUUAGCUUCAUAUUCCCGUAAGUACUUGGGUUUCUGCUUUCUCAGCUCUGAUGUGUCAUUUUCUAAUCAAUCAUCAGCAUUCCAGCUUCCAAAGUUUUGUUCAUAUAUCUUACAUGUGUUGUCUUGACCGACUUCUUUUUGGACCUUAGAUUAUUUACCUAUUUAAAUUCCUUAAUUGUUACUUUAGUGGAGUUUUGGAAGGGAACAAAAAUAUAGGCAGGUGUUUAUCACAUUUAACAAGGAACUCAAAAUUUAUAUUUAAUUCUAUUUAAUCUGGCUGCCUUCUUGCCAUCAGUCUAUUUGAAAAGUUCAUAUGGACCCAGCUCUGUCAUCAUCACAUGUUCUAUAUCCCCAAACCUUGUGACAUCUGCAAAGAAGUACAGAAGACCUCAAGAGAAGAUAAGCUAGAAUUUAUUUAUUUUUAUACCUUUUAUUCAGUUUUUAUUAAAGCUUUCCUACCUUUCCAGAUUGACACAGAAUUAUUCCAUGAAUCUGUCUAUUAAUCCAUUUACAGCAAGUGCUGGGGAUAGAAAUUAAGGUUUAAACAUAUAAUUCCUGCCAUCAAAGGACUCCCUGUUGAUUAGGGGACACAGGCAAGAAAAUAGACAGUAAGUUUGUUAAGGCAUGAACAAAGAACUGUGUUGGUACACACAGUACAGAGAGGAAGUACAAAGAGGAUGGUGCUUAAGAAGAGUUAACACCUAGACCUAAUCUUAGAGGAUGAGGAAGCAUUGGGUAGACUAGAAGACUAGGUGUAGGGGUAAAGGAAGGCAUAUCAGAGAAAAGGGAGCAGCUACAUAGAGGCAAGGACUAUGCCUCUUCUGCCUCUGAAGAGGAGAAAUUUCUUUCAAUCAAUAGAAAGUGCAGGACAAAGGGUACUAAGUCAUCUUUUGAUGGGAUAACUUGAUGUUAGUGUCCUUCCAUGAGAAAAUGGGAAGCAGCCCCUUAUAAUAAAACCUCUGGCUUUUGAAUUACCAAGUAAAACUGAGGUGUCAGCAACCCUUGGCUGAAUGUGGAACUUGCUAAUAGAACCCCUACAUUCAUGGGAAGGGAUAAAAGAGCUUUAAAAAGUACAAAAGCAUUGUGUGAAUAUAUGGGAUUAAUAUUACUACUACAAUAUUGCCUACCACCACCAUCCCCAGCCCUGAGGAGUCUUCUUAAACUUACAAAAUGAAGCUGCUUCUCUAUGGAUGUAGACAUUUCCUGGUUUCAACAUUGCACCAUAGCUAUGCAUUAUGUCAACAUUGGGAAAAGGCAGGGUGGAAGGUGCACAGGAGCUCUCUGUACAUUUCUUUGAAACUUCCUUUAUACCUUUUAAAAGUUAAAAAGCAGCAGCAGUGGCAGCUUCUCAAGGCCAAAGAUGGGGAGCUCUAUUUCAUUUGCAUUUCUACUCAGGGCUAUAAUGAAUUGAACUCAAUGUGUUGCUAAAGAUUAUUAUGAAAUUAAAAUCCAAUUAGGAUGGUCUCGUGGGUCUGGUAAAAGCUUGGAUUAGAGACCAGGCACAACACGGGGUUGGGGGAGAUGGACUGCUCAAUAGAAGUAGGGCUGAGUGGGGAGUUUAAAGCACUGGCCUCUAAGUAUAGGAACCACUGUACAAAUUUUAAAAUAUACUCAGGAUAGUUAAUAUUUGAUCAAAAUCCACUGUGAAGUGAGGAAUUUUUCCUGCUGGGCAUUCUAUUUUCCAGUUCUAUGAUCAAGCCCAGUGACUGGUAAAUACAAUAUGCCCCACUAGCCCCCAGCUUCUCCCAGCUCCUGUUCCCUCCUGGUGCUCAAAGGGAGAAAGGCUAAGAAAUUCCAAGCCCUGGUCAGGAAAGUGAUCUUGAAAUCACACACAAUGAAUAGUGCCAUCACUAAUGACUCAGCUUGUAAAGAACCAGUGAAGUGAGGAAAUUCUUUCUAUGCACAGAAUGUCUAGAUAUUUAGGCAAAAUUGAAGGGGAUGAGGCAGGAAUAACCAGGACAAACUCAGUAAGAACUUCAACCCUGGUUUUCUCAAGAUUCAGUUUAUGUGCUGAUCAUUUUCUCUCAUAUCUAAUUCCCUUACUUCCCCUGCUCUGUUUUACAUCGAAAGUGCUGACUUCAUGCAAAUUACAUGCAAUUUGCAUGUAAUUUGGAAUUUGCUCCCUGGGAAAAUCACUUCUGACUAGGUUCAGCCAAUGGGAGGCACUAACAGGAGAUUGGAGGGUAGGAGGAAGGGAGGCAUAAGGGAAUUUCUUUCCCCUCUCUGUUUCAGGUGGCAUUUCAAGAAUGUCUGUUUUUCCUCCAUGAUUUCUAUAGAUAUUCCUUAAUUUUCAAGUCUCCAUUAGCAUAGGUAUGAAGGUUUCUCAAUGUGCUCUUGCUUUGGCUUCCUUUAGUCAGAAUAGAAAGAGAAAGUUUUUUAACUUUAUUCAAACAUAUUAGGGGUUUGCUAGAGAAUACAUUAUUUGCCCCUAGUUAUCCUGAUGUUAUAAAAGGAGGCAGACCUGGACAAGUGUAAAUUAGCACAGACAUUCUAACAAUCACCAGAAAAAUGCACCCAUAAGUAGUGCCAAUGCAAGAAGUUUUGACUGUAAUGCCCGUGUGCAGUAGGCUGAAUGAUGGCCCCCAAGUAUAUCUAUAUCCUAAUCCCGAGAACUUGUGAAUGUUACUUGCUAUGCUGAAAGGGACUUUGAAGGUGUGAUUAAGGGUUUUGAGAUGGGGAGAUUUUCCUGGAUUAUAUGAAUGUGUCCUAAAUAUAAUCACACAGGUCCAUGUAAGAGGUAGGCAAGGUCAAAGGAGGAAAUAGAAGGUAAGAUAAUGAAAACAAGAGGUUGGAGGGCUGUGAGGAAGGGGGUCACAAGCCAAGAAGCAUAGGUGGCCUAGAGAAGCUAGAAAACACAAAGAAAUGGAUUUCUUAUAGAGUCUUCACGGGGGACUAGCCUUGCUCACACCUUGACUUUAGCCUAGUGAAACUGAUUUCAGACUUCUGGCCUCCAAAACUGUAAGAGAAUAGAACUGUGCUG
rnacentral:lncRNA from 1 species